AACGCGAAGAACCUUACCUACCCUUGACAUCCUCGGAAGUUAGUAGAGAUACUGACGUGCCUACGGGAACCGAGAGACAGGUGCUGCAUGGUUGUCGUCAGCUCGUGUCGUGAGAUGUUGGCUUAAGUGCCGCAACGAGCGCAACCCCUGUGUUUAGUUGCCUGCGAAAGCGGGAUCUCUAAACAGACUGCCUCGCUUUAAACGAGGAGGAAGGUGGGGAUGACGUCAAAUCAGUAUGGCCCUUACGGCCAGGGCUGCACACGUGCUACAAUGCAUGGUACAGAGGGACGCAAGACCGCGAGGUGGAGCAAAUCCCAUAAAACCAUGCCCAGUUCAGAUUGAAGGCUGCAACUCGCCUUCAUGAAGCCGGAAUCGCUAGUAAUGGCGCAUCAGCUACGGCGCCGUGAAUACGUUCCCGGGCUUGUACACACCGAGUAUA
rnacentral:rRNA from 1 species